GACGAACGCUGGCGGCGGGCUUAACACAUGCAAGUCGAACGGAAAGGCCCUGCUUGUGUGGGGUGCCCGAGUGGCGAACGGGUGAGUAACACGUGAGUAACCUGCCCUUGACUUUGGGAUAACUUCAGGAAACUGGGGCUAAUACCGGAUAGGAGCUCCUGCUGCAUGGUGGGGGUUGGAAAGUUUCGGCGGUUGGGGAUGGACUCGCGGCUUACCAGCUGGUUGGUGGGGUAGUGGCUUACCAAGGCUUUGACGGGUAGCCGGCCUGAGAGGGUGACCGGCCACCUUGGUCCUGCGGGACGGCCCAGACUCCUACGUUGGGCAGCAGUGGGAAAUAUUGCCCAGUGGGCGGGAGCCUGUUGCGGCAGCGCCGCGUGCGGAAUGACGGCCUUCGGGUUGUAAACCGCUUUCGCCUGUGACGAAGCGUGAGUGACGGUAAUGGGUGAAGAAGCACCGGCUAACUACGUG
rnacentral:rRNA from 1 species